GCCCCACGCUGGGCAGGGAAAACUUCGUUGCCUCAAAGAUCUUGCUCUGAAAGGCAUGGACGAUGCAGGCCAGGAGUCCUGGCAGAAGCCCCAGGGCCUGGUUGUCCAUCCUAGUCGUCGGUCGUUCCAGUUCUUCUACGUGAGGUGCUGGCACAGCAUGGCUACUGACAGACGGGCAGUGUGGUUCCGCGACUGGGAAGUGAACCUGGGCCGCCAUGGUGGAGUGUGCAGAACUUUAACUGCUGGGCCAUCAGGGCUGGCUCCGUUGCUUAAUUUUUAUUGAGCAUCUGCCAUGUGAUUUUUCUGCCCUAUGGAGCAUCUACUGGGGGAGAUGGAAAAAAUGGGGAAAUCAUAGCAUACAAACUGUUCUAAGUAGUACGUUGAGAUAGAGGAUAACAAGGGGAUGCUCUUUAGAGGGGGUGAAUGGGCAGGCAAGAUUUCUCGGAGUAAGUGAUACACAAGGAUGAGAGAUCUGAAUGGUGAGAAGAGUCAGCUGUGAGAGGGAAGAGAGACCCAGGCAGGGGGAAUAGCAGGGACGAAGGCCUGGAGGUGGGAAUGGGUUUGGUGUGUCCUUGGGGCUGGAAAGGGUCAGAGGAGCUUGGAGGUGGUGAGCGAGGAGGAGGAAGGCGCAGGAUGAACUGGAGAAGCAGGCGGGGGCUGGAUCACGCAGAGCCUCAUGGGCUGGGAUGCACAGAGUGGUUUAUUCUAAGAACAGUGGAAACCACCAGAAGGUUCCAAGCAGGAGAGUGAGUUGACCUGAUUUAUGUAAGGAGCAGCUCCCCCUGGCUGCUGUGUGGGGGUGGGUAGGAGAGGGGCAAGCAAGGAGGCCAGGAGGAUGUUGUAGUCAUCCAGGUGCGAGAUGGUGGUACCUGGGCUGCACGAUGGAGAGGGAGGGGGCUCCUGGGUCUGACAUAGUCUGGAUGUGGACCAGACAGAACUUGCUGAUGGACUGUAAGCAGGGGAUGAGGAAGAGGAAAGAAUAAAGGAUAGCUCCCUAAUGUCUGCCUCGAGUGUCAGUGGAUGACGAUGUUGCUUACUGAGAUGAUGAAGACCCAGAGUGGUGCUGGGGGGCAAUGCUGGACAACCGGCUUUUGCGGGGAGAAAACCCAGAGCUUAUUCUGGAAUGUGCUCCGUUAGAGACACCUGGGAGCCACGCGAGUGGAGAUCCUCAGAUCUGGAGUUCAGGGGAGAAGUCUGGGUUGCAGAUAUAAAUUUGGGAGUUGAUAGUGUAGACAUGGUAUUUAAAGCCAUGGGGCUUGAUGAGAUCAAGGAAGGAGAAAGUGUAGACAGAGAUGGGAGGGCAAGACAAGAGGGGAGAAGAGAAAGAGGAGUAGAGAAGAG
rnacentral:lncRNA from 1 species